UCUUAGGGUAAGAACAUAACAAGUAAGUCGAGGUGGAGGUGGAUGUCGCGGUCGAUGUCGACAUCCAUGUAAAACAAACACAUUGUAGUGAAUGGAAGAGAACAGAGCAGGUAAGUCGCGGUGGAGGUUUAGCGCGAUGCCAUUCAGGAGGUUUACAUCGAUGCUUUUUAAAAUAAAAAUAGUUUGUUUUACGUGGAUGUCUACCGCGCGGCCUACAAGGAUGCUUCCCUGUGAUUCGUCCGUUCUAAGCUAAGUUGUCAUUACCUGCGCUAUCUGAGUUGAUACUUUUUAUACAGGGUGU